rnacentral:lncRNA from 1 species
CACAUAAAUAAUAAAUACAUUAAACACUGAAACCAUUACAUUAAACUGAUAUCAUCAUCUUGAUUAUAUUUUGUUUAAGUAAUUUUUUUUAUACUGGAAUGAUAAUAAGAUGUUCAUUUUUACUUGUACCAAAAAAUCAAGUUUGGUGACAACUUUUUCAUUUAAUAUUUUUAGACCAUAUUAAAAACUCUAUCUUCUCAUAAUUUAUUUGAAAAAUCUUUCUCAUAGAUUUCUUUUCAUUCAUAAAAAUGAUCAAUCCAUUCAAUUUUUUGGCAAUGCACCAUGACACAUUGCUUGAAAAAUAACAGAGCCAACCAAACUAUAUAUUACAUUUUUGAUAAACGAAUGGAAAAUCACAAUUUUGGCAAUGUACGAAAGACAAUGUAUAAUAGGAAAUAUAUACCGCUGAUCAUCUUUAAACAUUUAAAAACAGUAAGGAUUGUGCAGAGUUCAAGAUGCGAACAAAUUCAUGUAGUAACCUAAAAGCUUGUGAUAUAGAUAUUAGUUUAUUGUCGAUGACUUAUGAUGACCUUUAGAGGAAUAGAUACUAUAUAUUGUUGAUGACUUAUAAUGACUGUAGAGGAAUAGAUACUAGUUAGGGGUUGCCCUGUAGAAGUUUUUUGCUAUGUUCAUUUUGUGCUGCUGUCUUAUUCAUAAUUCUCAUUUGCUUCAUUUUCAUCUGGCAGACUAGGAUUGAAAGUUAAAAAUGUAAACAUUACAUAAAGGGCAUAAAUAAAACAUCCAAAACAAAAGAUGAUAAAUCAUAAUUUAAAACCUUCACACACUAAAUAUCAUGUACACAAACUAAGGAUCAUUCAUUUCAAUCUACACACACUAAAUAUCAUGUACACAAACUAAGGAUCAUUCAUUUCAAUCUACACACACUAAAUAUCAUGUACACAAACUAAGGAUCAUUCAUUUCAAUCUACACACACUAAAUAUCAUGUACACAAACUAAGGAUCAUUCAUUUCAAUCUACACACACUAAAUAUCAUGUACACAAACUAAGGAUCAUUCAUUUCAAUCUACACACACUAAAUAUCAUGUACACAAACUAAGGAUCAUUCAUUUCAAUCUACACCCGUAAUUAUAUGUACACAAACUAAGGAUCAUUCAUUUCAAUCUACACACACUAAAUAUCAUGUACACAAACUAAGGAUCAUUCAUUUCAAUGAUAGUUCAUUAAAAUCUACACUCUAAGGAUCAUUUAUAAAAAAAAUCUACACUAAAUAUCAUUCAUUAAAAUCUACACACAUUUAAGGUAGAGGUGUAACAUUAUUAAUUCAGGCCUGGCCAGAAAGCACAUACUAGAAAGUAGUACAUAUUCAACACAAAAUAGUUCCUACUCAUGAGUGUAACUUUCAAAACAUGUAGGAUAUUUAGGUAUUUUUGGCAUCAAAUGAAAGCUGAAGAACUGGUGAUCAUUGUAAAACACUUUUUGACUUUUAAUUUUAAAUAUUAAAAAAACUGGACCAAAUUUAAAAAGAGGGUACAUUUUGUCUGUUUGUCAGAUCUGAAGUACCUGUUUUGGUACAUCCAAAGUUCCGGGAACCAGUUCUUUCUUAUAUGCCAUUAAAGGUAUGUUGAUUUUUUCAGUACAAGACACCAUAAAGUGUUGCUUUGACAUGCAAUGAUUGCUACUCUAUUUGAACUUAAAAUGAAAGAGGUGUGCCUACCUGAAAUGGAGGAAUUUAACAUAGAAAGCAAUGGGACCAUGAAUUAGUGGUUUACUUCCUAGAUUCAUUGUAUACCGCCAUCUUGGAUUGUCCUAUCUCAGUACACAAUUAGUCAUACCACAUCUUCCUAUACAUAGUUAUUUACCUAAAUCUGCAAAUUUGUAGACAGACACUUCAUUCAUAUGAAUAAAAUUUGCCGAUUCAUUGCAUUUUUCAAGAUAUUUAAACAAAUACCAAACAAUAGUGUUUAAAAAUAAUGUUUUUCAACUAAGCCAUUUAAGGGGAGUUAACUUUUUUAAGUACAAAAUUUAUACUGCACUGAUAGGGGAUUUUUUUUACUUUAUCUUAUAUCAAGAAAACAAGUUCUGUGACACCAUUUUUUCUUUUUCUUUUCUUGAAACAUAUUAUAAAACCCAUCUUCUCACAAUUUAUUUCAAAAUUGUAUCUCAUAGAUUUUUUUAAAUGCACAAAAAAUGUGUUUUUUCAUGAUCAUUCUAAGCAAAUUAAGGCAAUUUUCAACAACUCAUAGCUUGAAAAAUAGAAAAGUGACCCAUCUUUUUUAUUAUAUUUUUGAAAAGAGCAUAAUAAAAUAUCUUCAUUUUGUCAAAGUAUAAGAAAAUUCUAUCUUGGGAAACAUAUACUUAUGAUCUACCUUAACAUCAUUCAUUGAAAUCAACAUAAAAAGCAAUAUUUCAUUAAAUCAACACACACAGAGGAUUAUUCAUUAAAUAUUAACAAACAAAUUUAAAUAAUUAAUGGAUACACAAAGUAAUUUAAGUGGAACAUUUCAAAUAAACAGUCAAUUGACAGUUUAGGUGACAUAGGAAAAGCCUUGAUGAUCAUUAAAAAGUAUAUCUGUCUAUACUACAUUUCAAUUAAAUUACAAAAUAACUCGCAUUUACCAAUAAUCAUUAUUAAAGAUCCAUCACUCCUAUAAGAUGUCAAUUAUCAUCAUUAAAGAUCCAUCACUCCUAUAAGAUGUCAUUUAUCGUUAUUAAAGAUCCAUCACUCCUAUAAGAUGUCAAUUUAUGGUUUCAGUAUUAUUGGCACUAUCAUCAAACAUUUUGCUUUACUGGUCAGUUAGUUAACAGUUCCUAUCAGGAAAACCAAUUCAAUUGGUCAAAUAUUAUCAUAAGGGGGGUUAAUACUUCUUUAAGAAGUCAUCUGAUAAUUAGGGUAGAAAUGCAAAACAUGUAAACUCUGACCACUUGUCCCAUUCACAUGUAAACUCUGACCACUUGUCCCAUUCACAUGUAAACUCUGACCUCUUGUCCCAUUCACAUGUAAACUCUGACCACUUGUCCCAUGCACAUGUAAACUCUGACCACUUGUCCCAUUCACAUGUAAACUCUGACCACUUGUCCCAUUCACAUCUAAACUCUGACCACUUGUCCCAUUCACAUGGUUUUUUUUUUACGAAACAAUAACUUACAUGUGAUCCUUGAUACUGUUUUUUAGCCAGGGUAGCCAUGAUGGUUGGUUAGUGUGGACAAAGACACAACUUUUAUAUAAGGCCCUUUGAAUCAUUCCAGCCUACCUGUAGCAUCCUUGUCUACAGGUUUAAAAGGAGAACAAUGAGGUCAACAGGUUUAAGAAAGAAAGACAACAAAUGUUUAGUGAAGACAAAACGUCACACGAAUCUAAGAUUGACCUAAAAUAUAAUAAUUUGUAUCUUUUUGUCACACGAAAAUCUUUUUCAUCUUUACAUUGUUCAAAUAAUAAGUGGUGUUGACAUAAACUUUGUACAGGGAGAUAAAAUAGAUAAUUAUUUAAUC